CAAUGUUUGUUUUUUAAAAUAUUUUUUGUACCGUUCCUUAAAAAAGUAAAGAAACAAACAACAACAAAACAUUAUCACAAGCAACGUGAUUUCCGGAAGUUAAAGCGCAACAAAGGCGCCUGCGCAAAUGUCGUCGCUGUCGAAUUGAUUGUUGUUGUUGUAGUUGUUGUUGUUGUUGUUGUUGCUGCUGCUGCUGCAACGAAGAAGCUAAAGAAGAAAGUCGUGCGGCAACAGCUGCCGCAGUUGCAACUGUAGCCUCAGGUUCCAUGUCGCACGUCCCACGUCCCACGUCCCACAGUCAUCCUGUUUUUCGUGCGAAUAAUGUCAUUUGUGUUUGUUUUAUAACCAAAAUUACAACAACUUGGCCCAGUCAAGCGACAAGGGAGCCCAAAAUAAACAUGCAGCCAGCAUAAUUGUCGAGUUGCUCAAGUCAGCUGCAGGCGGGGGGUAGAGUCAGCAUUUGGUAGCUGCUAAAGUUCACUUGCACUUGGGGCUGAGUUCAGAAUUUUUGCAUAUCUGGAUAAUUGAUGAUGGAUAAUUGAUGGCUUGGCCACUUAAAGUGUGGGGGCCAGCUCGUGUUUGGGCCAUAUACGGGUGCCACGUGGCGCAGCUGACAGGCCAGCUACAAUCAGAGAUUGGCCACGGACGACGGCUAGACCCCACGAAAUUGGCUGACAACCAGUUCCUCUUUGCAAUUGCUUUCGUUGCAAAUUGCUUAGCUCUGUGGGUGGCAGGUGUGUCAGCUGCCAAAGGGGACCGAAGAAAGAAUAUAAUCCUCACAAGCUAGUUUCAAGAAUGCGACAAAAAGGCGUGAAGAAAUCAAAUAGAUAAUAAUAAUGUAUAAGAAAAUCGCAAUUAUAUGUAAAUGAAUUUCUCUUUUCGAAUA